rnacentral:rRNA from 1 species
UACGAAGGGGGCUAGCGUUGCUCGGAAUUACUGGGCGUAAAGGGAGCGUAGGCGGAUAGUUUAGUCAGAGGUGAAAGCCCAGGGCUCAAUCUUGGAAUUGCCUUUGAUACUGGCUAUCUUGAGUACGGAAGAGGUAUGUGGAACUCCGAGUGUAGAGGUGAAAUUCGUAGAUAUUCGGAAGAACACCAGUGGCGAAGGCGACAUACUGGUCCGUUACUGACGCUGAGGCUCGAAAGCGUGGGGAGCAAACAGG